rnacentral:rRNA from 1 species
AGAGCGAACGCUGGCGGCAGGCCUAAUACAUGCAAGUCGAACGGAUCCUUCGGGAUUAGUGGCGGACGGGUGAGUAACACGUGGGAACGUGCCCUUUGGUUCGGAACAACUCAGGGAAACUUGAGCUAAUACCGAAUGUGCCCUUCGGGGAAAGAUUUAUCGCCAUUGGAGCGGCCCGCGUCUGAUUAGCUAGUUGGUGAGGUAAAGGCUCACCAAGGCUUCGAUCAGUAGCUGGUCUGAGAGGAUGAUCAGCCACACUGGGACUGAGACACGGCCCAGACUCCUACGGGAGGCAGCAGUAGGGAAUCUUGCGCAAUGGGCGAAAGCCUGACGCAGCCAUGCCGCGUGAAUGAUGAAGGUCUUAGGAUUGUAAAUUCUUUCAGCGGGGACGAUAAUGACGGUACCCGCAGAAGAAGCCCCGGCUAACUUCGCGCCAGCAGCCGC